rnacentral:lncRNA from 1 species
UAGUGCCCAGUAAGGAAUUCUUAGAUGUUCCCUUGCUUUUUUCCACAGGGUUACGUCAAUUGCAGACAGACUGAAUGUGGAAUUUGCUUUGAUUCACAAAGAGAGAAAGAAAGCAAAUGAAGUGGACCGGAUGGUUCUUGUGGGCGAUGUGAAGGACCGUGUGGCUAUCCUGGUGGACGACAUGGCUGACACAUGUGGUACCAUCUGUCAUGCUGCAGAUAAGUUACUCUCAGCUGGUGCCACCAAAGUUUAUGCUAUUCUUACCCAUGGAAUCUUCUCUGGGCCAGCUAUUUCCAGAAUAAAUAAUGCUGCCUUUGAAGCA